rnacentral:rRNA from 1 species
GAUGAACGCUGACAGAAUGCUUCACACAUGCAAGUCAACUGUGGCGGACGGGUGAGUAACGCGUAAAGAACUUGCCUCACAGAUAGGGACAACAUUUGGAAACGAAUGCUAAUACCUGAUACUGUGAGAGAGCUUUGCGUCCCAUUAGCUAGUUGGAGAGGUAACGGCGCACAAAGGCGAGGAUGGGUAGCCGGCCUGAGAGGGUGAUCGGCCACAAGGGGACUGAGGCACGGACCUUGCUCAUAAGGGAGGCAGCAGUGGGGAAUAUUGGCAAAUGGACAAAAGUCUGAACAAGCAAUUCGGGGUGCACGAUGAAGUUUUCGGAAUGUAAGGUGCUUUGAGUUGGGAAGCGGUACCAACAGAAGAAGUGACGGCUAAAUACGUGCCAGCAGCCGCGGUAAUUC